rnacentral:rRNA from 1 species
GAUGAACGCUGGCGGCGUGCUUAAUACAUGCAAGUCGAACGAACAUUAAGAGUGCUUGCACUUUUAAUGUUAGUGGCGAACGGGUGAGUAAUACAUAGGCAACUUGCCCCAAGGACUGGGAUAACAGUUGGAAACAGCUGCUAAUACCGCAUAAUGCAACGGAAUCGCAUGACUCUGUUGCCAAAGAUUUAUCGCUCUGAGAUGGCCUCGCGUCUGAUUAGCUAGUUGGCGGGGUAACGGCCCACCAAGGCGACGAUCAGUAGCCGGACUGAGAGGUUGGCCGGCCACAUUGGGACUGAGACACGGACCAA